rfam:Schistosoma mansoni, Puerto Rico, WGS project CABG01000000 data, contig: 0341
AACUUCUGUAUCCGUGCUGAUAUUUCGUCACACACCAGACCACAAGGGCUGAUGGGACUCCCAAAAUAAGCGAAGCG